GUCGAGUGCGCGCCCGUAGCAAUACGGGUGGCGCACGGCGCACGGGUGCGUAACACGUGGGUACCUGCCCUUUGAUGGGGAAUAACCCCGCGAAAGCGGGGCUAAUUCCGCAUAAGAUCCGCAAGGAUGAAAGCCGUAAGGCGUCGAAGGAGGGGCCUGCGCACGAUUAGCUAGUUGGUAGGGUAACGGCCUACCAAGGCUUUGAUCGUUAGCUGGUCUGAGAGGAUGGCCAGCCACACUGGAACUGAGACACGGUCCAGACUCCUACGGGAGGCAGCAGUGGGGAAUCUUGCACAAUGGGCGAAAGCCUGAUGCAGCGACGCCGCGUGGGGGAUGAAGCUUCUCGGAGUGUAAACCCCUUUCGACCCGGACGAAUACCUCGCAAGAGGGGUGACGGUACGGGUAUAAGAAGCCCCGGCUAACUACGUGCCAGCAGCCGCGGUAAGACGUGGGGGGCCAGCGUUGCUCGGAAUUACUGGGUGUAAAGGGUCAGUAGGCGGUGUGGCAAGUCGGGAGUGAAAUCUCUGGGCUUAACUCAGAGACUGCUUCCGAAACUGCUGUGCUUGAGUAUGGGAGAGGCGCGUGGAAUUGCAGGUGUAGCGGUGAAAUGCGUAGAUAUCUGCAGGAACACCCGUGGCGAAAGCGGCGCGCUGGACCAUAACUGACGCUGAAUGACGAAAGCUAGGGGAGCAAACAGGAUUAGAUACCCUGGUAGUCCUAGCCCUAAACGAUCAGGACUUGGGGUGCCACCCGUUCGGGUGUCGUC
rnacentral:rRNA from 1 species